rnacentral:rRNA from 1 species
UACGUAGGGUGCGAGCGUUGUUCGGAAUCAUUGGGCGUAAAGCGAGAGUAGGUGGUUUGCUAAGUCGGGUGUGAAAUCCCUGGGCUCAACCCAGGAAGUGCAUUCGAAACUAGCUCACUUGAAGAUGGUAGAGGAAGGUGGAAUUCCAAGUGUAGAGGUGAAAUUCGUAGAUAUUUGGAGGAAUACCGGCGGCGAAGGCGGCCUUCUGGACCAUUCUUGACAC